UUCAAUAAGAGAAUUCAUUCAUUCAUUUUAAGAGAAUUAACUGCACAAUUACUUGAAAUGUGUGGCAUUACAUUAUUUGUUAACCCAAAGUGAGUUUCUCUUUCUUUGCAGUAUUGGAUGCCUGAUUGCAGUUCAACUCUAAACUCAGUUGGACCAGAUGAUCAGUGUCUUCAGUAUUACCACAAGCUACUGGGCAGAUGUGUGGACAGCUAUGAGCCAAACUUGGGACGUUUGGUUUUUAGCAGGUGGAGAGACCGUCUGGGCAGCAGAAACAA